UGAAUGCGCAUCGUGCUAGGGAUAGACUGUUGCAAUUUUCAGUCUUGAACGAGGAAUUCCUAGUAAACGCAAGUCAUCAGCUUGCAUUGAUUACGUCCCUGCCCUUUGUACACACCGCCCGUCGCACCUACCGAUUGAAUGACUCGGUGAAAAAUUGGGACUGUGACCCCGCUUGAAGUAAUUGCGAGCGGAUUAAUGGGAACUUUUUUAAACCUCGCCAUUUAGAGGAAGGUGAAGUCGUAACAAGGUUUCCGUAGGUGAACCUGCGGAAGGAUCAUUA
rnacentral:rRNA from 1 species